rnacentral:lncRNA from 1 species
UUCUAUGAGUGUACAGCUUACUGUGAUUUUUCUCUCUUUUCAGGGUUGUGGUUUUUUUGCACUGAAUGUAACGUAGACUCAUCUUCACGGGCUUGUGUUGCCCCAGGUACUGUCAAAGGCAGUAUUUUUGUGUUUCUGCAGAGUUUUGCACAAAAUCUGUUCCCAUGCAAACCAAUGAGGGAGAAGUAUCGGAAGAAAGCAGUUCCAAGGUGGAACAGGAGGAUUUUGUAAUGGAAGGGCAUGGCAAGACUCCACCUCCUGGUGAAGAAAGCAAACAGUGAGUCACAGUUUAUUUAAAAAGAGUCCUAUUACAGGUCCUCGGAA